rnacentral:piRNA from 1 species
ACAAUGGGAAAUGCAAGGAACUCUUCU